rnacentral:rRNA from 3 species
UGGGGAAUAUUGCACAAUGGGCGAAAGCCUGAUGCAGCGACGCCGCGUGAGGGAUGACGGCCUUCGGGUUGUAAACCUCUUUCAGCAGGGACGAAGCGCAAGUGACGGUACCUGCAGAAGAAGCACCGGCUAACUACGUGCCAGCAGCCGCGGUAAUACGUAGGGUGCAAGCGUUGUCCGGAAUUACUGGGCGUAAAGAGUUCGUAGGCGGUUUGUCGCGUCGUUUGUGAAAACCAGCAGCUCAACUGCUGGCUUGCAGGCGAUACGGGCAGACUUGAGUACUGCAGGGGAGACUGGAAUUCCUGGUGUAGCGGUGAAAUGCGCAGAUAUCAGGAGGAACACCGGUGGCGAGGGCGGGUCUCUGGGCAGUAACUGACGCUGAGGAACGAAAGCGUGGGUAGCGAACAGG